rnacentral:rRNA from 1 species
ACGGAGGGUGCAAGCGUUAUCCGGAUUCACUGGGUUUAAAGGGUGCGUAGGUGGGUAUGUUAGUCAGUGGUGAAAUCCCCGAGCUUAACUUGGGAACUGCCAUUGAUACUAUAUAUCUUGAAUGCCGUAGAGGUAAGCGGAAUAUGUCAUGUAGCGGUGAAAUGCUUAGAUAUGACAUGGAACACCAAUUGCGAAGGCAGCUUACUAUGCGGUGAUUGACACUGAGGCACGAAAGCGUGGGUAGCAAACAGGAUUAGAUACCCUGGUAGUCCACGCCCUAAACUAUGGAUACUCGACAUACGCGAUACACUGUGUGUGUCUGAGCGAAAGCAUUAAGUAUCCCACCUGGGAAGUACGACCGCAAGGUUGAAACUCAA